GAUGAACGCUGGCGGCGUGCCUAAUACAUGCAAGUCGAGCGAACAGACGAGGAGCUUGCUCCUCUGACGUUAGCGGCGUACGGGUGAGUAACACGUGGAUAACCUACCUAUAAUACUGGGAUAACUUCGGGAAACCGGAGCUAAUACCGGAUAAUAUAUUGAACCGCAUGGUUCAAUAGUGAAAGACGGUUUUGCUGGCUCUUAUAGAUGGAUCCGCGCCUCAUUGUAUAGUUGGUAAGGUAACGGCUUACCAAGGCAACGAUGCCUAACCGACGCGAGGGGGGGUAGGGCCACUCUGGAACUGAGACACGGCCCAGAGUCCGACGGGAGGCAGCAGUAGGGAAGCUUCCGCAAUGGGCGAAAGCCUGACGGAGCAACGCAGCGUGGGUGAUGAAGGUCUGCGGAUGGUAAAACUCUGUUAUUAGGGAAGAACAAAUGUGUAAGUAACGAUGCACGUCUGGACGGAACCGAUACAGAAAGCCACGGCUAAUUACGG
rnacentral:rRNA from 1 species